ACCACUAGAGGGGAACUGCCCUAUAAACAGAGAACUCCCAAACGACUGGCUCCAGCCAAGGCCACUGGUGAGACAAGCCUGUGUUAUGUGCUUAUAUAAUGCACAGGCUUCACCUAAAGAUGGAACCAGCUCGAACUACCAACUGAUAAUGUCUCAAGUAGACAAAAGGUGACCAAAUUAAGGAAAGAAACCAGGAUCCUGGCAGCCCAGGAAGCAGAGCCGGUCAUGACAACAUGCAGUUGAUGAUGUGGGGGUGAAAGGCUGAGUAAGAGAUUGCAACCUGCAGUGAGACCGGCUGAAAGGCCCGGGCGGAUGUGAAGGCUGGUGGCAAGGAAAUGGGAAGCAGGCAGCCAAGCUAACCCUGUGUCCACUGAGGGAGUGAGGUGGCCUUGAGCACAGCAGCAUCCCUCGGUCUUACAUCGGCAGGAAGUAGAAGGUGAAGAAGGCUAAAGGAAGUGAAAGUGUUGCUGGAUCUCCUGCUGGCAUUGCCUCCUCCUUCACACAGCAUCCCAGUUCUCCCUGCAGCCACCUGAUCUUCCCUUUGUCCCCUUCCUCACCAUAGCCCCACCACCUUCACCACUCCAAGUUGAUGCUUCUCCUACAUCUGGCCAAAAUGCUACUCAGAGCUGGAUGAAAGCAAAAGUCACUGCUCUAAUACAGGAAAAGUCCCGGUUUUAGGUUUCAGAAACAGAAUUUUCCCAAAUGUUUAAAAUGGUGAAUGGUUCCAUAAACUGUGUUAACCAAGCUUCUUACAGGCUAGUCCCAGAAUCUGACCACCAUGUGCAAUACUGGUUCUAAGAAAAGUGUGCUCCAAGCAAGAACCUUCAAACAUUUAACCUGAAUGAAUGAAUAUAACCUCUUCACGGUUCAGUGUUUUCAUAAGCAAAACGAGAGAAUAACAGAAUUGAUGUCUUUUAAAAAAAAUUUAGGGCUGGGCACGGUGGCUCACGCCUGUAAUCCCAACACUUUGGGAGGCCAAGGCAGGCGGAUCACUCCUGAGGUCAGGAGUUCGAGACCAGUCUGGCCAACAAGGUGAAACCCUGUCUCUACUAAUAAUACAAAAAAAUUAGCUGGAUGUGGUGGCACAUGACUGUAACCCCAGCUACUCAGGAGGCUGAGGCAGGAGAAUCACUUGAACCCAGGAAGCAGAGGUUGCAGUGAGCCGAGAUCAAGCCACUGCACUCCAGCCUGGGCGACAAGAGCAAAACUCCAUCUCCAAAAAAAAAAUUUUUGGAAAGCUUCCCAUUUGGGAUCUGUCCACCUACACAGGGCAACACAAUAGUACUGACAUCUCUUAGCUUUUAUGGAAUUUUCUGCCUACAAUGCAGAGGGCAAAGAAGGGGUAUUGUCAGCCUGGCUUUGCUGUCUCUGAGUGACAGUCUCUUGUGUACGUAAAUAAGAUGAAUUUUCAUAAAAGCAUUAACAGAGCAUUAGUUUCACCUCAGAAAGAAAAUGAAAAAGCAAUUGACAAGUGUAGUCAAAGAAGAAAUUAAAAUAUAGUUAAAUAGUAAUCAGAUCGAGAAAAAAUCAGUGAAAACCUUUAACUUGCAACCUAUUCUUUUUCAAGACAUCAGUACCCAAAGAUUGGGAAAGUUUAUUAAAAAUGUUACCAAACUUUAAGUUCUUCUUCUUCUUUUUUUUUUUUUUUGAAACAGGGUCUCAUUCUGUCACCCAGGCUGGACUGCAGUAGCACGAUCUCAGCUCACCGCAGCCUCAGCCUCCCAAGCUCAAGGGAUCCUCCCACCUUAGCCUCCCGAGUAGCUGGGACUAAGUUCUUACUCCAUUAGGUUGAGCUAUUAGAACAUCACUGUUUCCCAUGUAAACGCUGAGACCUUCAUUAGGCUCUCCUUGCUUACCCUGCCAUUUCACUUCAGGUGUCACCUUCUUUAAGAAGCUACCCCUUGCCAGGUGUGGUGGCUUACGCCUGUAAUCCCAGCUCUUAGGGAGGCAGAGGCAGGAGGAUAGCUUGAGCCCAGGAAAUUGAGACCUGCCUGGGCAAUAUAGCAAGACCCCAUUCUCCACAAAAAGGAAAAAAGCAAACAAAAAACAAGCGUAAGAAGCUACCCUUGAACCCACUGCACCCUCGAUCUGAUUUUUGAAGCUGUUUCCUGGGAGCCUGGGGCAUCCUGGCACAGAGGCACUGCUACGGCAAAGGCAUUGGUCUGCCCUCCCCACCAACUCUGAGCUCUUCAGGGGCAGGAAUAUGAUAUAUACAAGCAGUUCAUUUAAUCUCUACGAGCUGAAAUGAUUCAUUUGUCUUAAUGUCAUUUUAAAGUACAGAAUUUGAGAGCUGGAGGGAAUCUCAGAUACCAAUUAUUUCAACACUCCACUCUUUUCUGAGGCUUUAAAUGACUUGCUCCAAGUUAGAAAAGAAUCAGGACCCGAAGCCAAACCUUGAAAAUGCUGUUCUAAUGCUUUGUGCCUGUAUCCCAUGCUGCCUUGCCUUUGUAAAUUCAUAGGAUUAAAUAAGGGAAUCCUAAAAAUUGUGUUCAAUUCCCCCUUCACUUCUAACCUGGUCAAUUUUACAGGCAAAGAAACACCACUGGAGGCAAUGAAGGGCCGUUCUCACAAUUACAUGGUUCACAGCAGAGCUGGGAUGAAAACUCGGAUCUCAUAUGAGGGACCAUGUUCUUCCCAUCAUCUCAUAAAAAUUCAACUUUCAAGUGCAGGUCGUGGGUGUACAGCAAAGGUCAGCAUGGCACAGGGGCCAAAUUGUGCGGGCCACCUGUUUUUGAGUAUGGCUUGCAAGCUAAGAAUGGUUUUUACAUUUUAAAAUGGUUAUAAAACAAGAAAUCAUACUUUGUGAAGUAUAUGAAGUUCAAAUUUCAGUGUCCAUGAAUAAAGUUUGGUUGGAACAUA